rnacentral:RNase_P_RNA from 1 species
CUUCAAGUGCGAUGAGGAAAGUCCGGGCAUCACAGGGCAGGCCGCCUGAUAACGUCAGUUGAAGGCGACUUUAAGGAAAGUGCAACAGAAAUAAACCGCUACGGCGGCAUGCCGCCGUAGUAAGGAUGGAAAGGCGAGGUAAGAGCUCACCGACGGGACGGUAACGCCCCGUGCCAUGUAAACCCCGUCCGAUGCAAGUUUGGGCUUUGUUCACAUAGGGCUGCCCGUCCGAACAGAGCCGUGAAUAACGCUGGAGCUUGUCGGCGACGGCAAGCGUAGAUAAAUGAUCGCGCACGACAGAACCCGGCUUACAGGUCCGACUCGGUA